CAUAUAAACACAGGCAGGAAUGUAACAGAUAAUACAUCUUUAGGAGAAAACUGUAACCAUCCAUAAAAGUGAGCAGGCAAACAGCCUACUUAACACAAAGUAGUUUCUUUCAUGAUGUCCAUAGCAGCACAGAGUAGCAAGCUGGCCAAAUGGGUUCAUAACAUGUGGUAUAUUUAGACAUGGAAUAAUACACAGCAGGGAACUGGUUGGACUACAGAGACAUGCAGCAACAUGCUUGUUUCUUAGGAAGUGAACAUUGUAGACCAAAGACUCAGAAAACUUUGUCCUAUGUAGCAUAAUUUAAUAAAGGUAAGGAAUAUGAAAAUGUACACUCUAUAACUUAAGAAUACAUACAUAUACAGUUAAACAAUUUUUAACUAUGAUUCAUAAAGAAUUCAACAUUGAGAUUACCUCUGGAAAGAGGGAAAGGAAUGAUAUACACAGGUAACUUCAAUAUUGAUCAUAUUCUGGGUAUUAAUUGAAUAUAUUAUUCAUAUGCAUUAAAAAUAUGUAAUAAAAUUUUUAAAAAAGAAAAGUUCUAAUUUUUUUUAGUUAGGAAAAAACUCUUACAAAACAUAGAUGAUGUUCCUACAAUAAAAUGAAAGCAAUUCCAUUUUCUUCCUAGUUUGUGAUGUUCUGGAGGGCUGCAUGCUGAAAAAAAAUUUUUUUUAAGAUAAGAUGGAAAACCAAAAUUUUGUUUAUAUA